rnacentral:tRNA from 1 species
GCCUCCUUAGCUCAAUUGGCAGAGCAGCGAUCUUGUAAGUCGCAGGUCGUCGGUUCGAUUCCGACAGGGGGCUCCC